AACGGGUGAGUAAUGCAUCGGAACGUACCUAGUCGUGGGGGAUAACGUAGCGAAAGUUACGCUAAUACCGCAUACGCCCUACGGGGGAAAGCGGGGGACCUUCGGGCCUCGCGCUAACAGAUGAGCCUGCGUUGGAUUAGCUAGUUGGUAGGGUAAAGGCCUACCAAGGCGACGAUCCGUAGCUGGUCUGAGAGGACGACCAGCCACACUGGAACUGAGACACGGUCCAGACUCCUACGGGAGGCAGCAGUGGGGAAUUUUGGACAAUGGGGGCAACCCUGAUCCAGCCAUUCCGCGUGAGUGAAGAAGGCCUUCGGGUUGUAAAGCUCUUUCAGCAGGAACGAAACGGUGGCCCCUAAUACGGGCUACUAAUGACGGUACCUGAAGAAGAAGCACCGGCUAACUACGUGCCAGCAGCCGCGGUAAUACGUAGGGUGCGAGCGUUAAUCGGAAUUACUGGGCGUAAAGCGUGCGCAGGCGGUUAUGUAAGACAGGUGUGAAAUCCCCGGGCUCAACCUGGGAACUGCGCUUGUGACUGCAUAACUCGAGUGUGGCAGAGGGGGGUGGAAUUCCACGUGUAGCAGUGAAAUGCGUAGAGAUGUGGAGGAACACCGAUGGCGAAGGCAGCCCCCUGGGUCAACACUGACGCUCAUGCACGAAAGCGUGGGGAGCAAACAGGAUUAGAUACCCUGGUAGUCCACGCCCUAAACGAUGCGAACUAUGUGUUGGGGAAGGAGACUUUCUUAGUACCGCAGCUAACGCGUGAAGUUCGCCGCCUGGGGAGUACGGUCGCAAGAUUAA
rnacentral:rRNA from 1 species